CUGUGACAUACCAAUUGUUGCCUCGGCGGAUCAGCCCGCUCCCGGUAAAACGGGACGGCCCGCCAGAGGACCCCUAAACUCUGUUUCUAUAUGUAACUUCUGAGUAAAACCAUAAAUAAAUCAAAACUUUCAACAACGGAUCUCUUGGUUCUGGCAUCGAUGAAGAACGCAGCAAAAUGCGAUAAGUAAUGUGAAUUGCAGAAUUCAGUGAAUCAUCGAAUCUUUGAACGCACAUUGCGCCCGCCAGUAUUCUGGCGGGCAUGCCUGUUCGAGCGUCAUUUCAACCCUCAAGCCCCCGGGUUUGGUGUUGGGGAUCGGCGAGCCCUUGCGGCAAGCCGGCCCCGAAAUCUAGUGGCGGUCUCGCUGCAGCUUCCAUUGCGUAGUAGUAAAACCCUCGCAACUGGUACGCGGCGCGGCCAAGCCGUUAAACCCCCAACUUCUGAAUGUUGACCUCGGAUCAGGUAGGAAUACCCGCUGAAC
rnacentral:rRNA from 1 species